rnacentral:rRNA from 1 species
UACGUAGGGGGCUAGCGUUGUCCGGAAUCAUUGGGCGUACAGAGCGCGUAGGCGGCCAGAUAAGUCCGGUGUGAAAGUCAAAGGCUCAACCUUUGAAUGCCGCUGGAAACUGUCUGGCUAGAGUCCGGGAGGGGCGAGUGGAAUUCCUGGUGUAGCGGUGAAAUGCGCAGAUAUCAGGAGGAACACCAAUGGCGAAGGCAGCUCGCUGGAACGGUACUGACGCUGAGGCGCGAAAGCGUGGGGAGCGAACAGG